GAUGAACGCUGGCGGCGUGCCUAAUACAUGCAAGUCGAGCGAACAGACGAGGAGCUUGCUCCUCUGACGUUAGCGGCGGACGGGUGAGUAACACGUGGAUAACCUACCUAUAAGACUGGGAUAACUUCGGGAAACCGGAGCUAAUACCGGAUAAUAUAUUGAACCGCAUGGUUCAAUAGUGAAUGACGGUUUUGCGGUCACUUAUAGAUGGAUCCGCGCCGCAUUAGCUAGUUGGUAAGGUAACGGCUUACCAAGGCAACGAUGCGUAGCCGACCUGAGAGGGUGAUCGGCCACACUGGAACUGAGACACGGUCCAGACUCCUACGGGAGGCAGCAGUAGGGAAUCUUCCGCAAUGGGCGAAAGCCUGACGGAGCAACGCCGCGUGAGUGAUGAAGGUCUUCGGAUCGUAAAACUCUGUUAUUAGGGAAGAACAAAUGUGUAAGUAACUAUGCACGUCUUGACGGUACCUAAUCAGAAAGCCACGGCUAACUACGUG
rnacentral:rRNA from 1 species